rnacentral:rRNA from 1 species
GGAGGGCCAAGCUGGUGCCAGCAGCCGCGGUAACUCCAGCUCCAGAAGCGUAUAUUAAAGUUGUUGCAGUUAAAAAGCUCGUAGUUGGAUCUGGGUGUCAUGACUUUGCUCUGUGGACUGCUUCAUCUGCCAAACAUGGUGGUGUUGCUUCCCGGUGGUUAAGUCGUCUUACCUUUCUGCCGUGUCUAUUCGAAUGCGAAUGGGUGUCGGUUGUCGGCGUCGUUGUCGUUUGUUCGGCACGGCGUUGUCAGCCGGCAUGCUUACGGUUGGCCUUUACUGGUCGGCCGGAGUGGACGGCAAGUUUACUUUGAACAAAUUUGAGUGCUCAAAGCGGGCCAUAGUGCCUGAAAAGUCUUGCAUGGAAUAAUGAAAUAGGACUUCGGUUCUAUUUUGUUGGUUUUCAGAUCCGAAGUAAUGGUUAAGAGGGACAGACGGGGGCAUUUGUAUG